GAUGAACGCUGGCGGCGUGCCUAACACAUGCGAGUCGAACGAAGCACCUUACCUGAUUCUUCGGAUGAAAGUUUGGUGACUGAGUGGCGGACGGGUGAGUAACGCGUGGGUAACCUGCCCUGUACAGGGGGAUAACAGCUGGAAACGGCUGCUAAUACCGCAUAAGCGCACGAGGAGACAUCUCCUUGUGUGAAAAACUCCGGUGGUACAGGAUGGGCCCGCGUCUGAUUAGCUGGUUGGCAGGGUAACGGCCUACCAAGGCAACGACCAGUAGCCGGUCAGAGGGGAAGAACGGCCAGAUUGGGACAAGGAACGGACCCAAACCACUGGCAGAGGAGGCAUGGGGGAAAAAUGAACAAAGGGGAAAACCCUAAUGCCGCAUGACCGAGUGAGGUAAGAGGUAUUUAUGUAAAUAAGGCUAAGAAACCAGGAGAGCCAUAACGGGAACCGAUGUAGGAGACCCCGGCAAAAGGCGU
rnacentral:rRNA from 1 species